rnacentral:tRNA from 1 species
GGCGUCAUAGUACAGUGUUUCGGAUUGCAAAUCCGUGCACACCGGUUCGAUUCCGGUACUCGCCUCCA